rnacentral:rRNA from 1 species
AGUGAACGCUGGCGGUAGGCCUAACACAUGCAAGUCGAACGGCAGCACAGUAAGAGCUUGCUCUUACGGGUGGCGAGUGGCGGACGGGUGAGGAAUACAUCGGACUCUACUUUUUCGUGGGGGAUAACGUAGGGAAACUUACGCUAAUACCGCAUACGACCUACGGGUGAAAGCAGUGGAUCUUCGGACCUUGCGCGAUUGAAUGAGCCGAUGUCGGAUUAGCUAGUUGGCGGGGUAAAGGCCCACCAAGGCGACGAUCCGUAGCUGGUCUGAGAGGAUGAUCAGCCACACUGGAACUGAGACACGGUCCAGACGCCUACGGGAGGCAGCAGUGGGGAAUAUUGGACAAUGGGCGCAAGCCUGAUCCAGCCAUACCGCGUGGGUGAAGAAGGCCUUCGGGUUGUAAAGCCCUUUUGUUGGGAAAGAAAAGCAGCAGGUUAAUACCCCGCUGUUCUGACGGUACCCAAAGAAUAAGCACCGGCUAACUUCGUG